rnacentral:misc_RNA from 1 species
GAUGAAGAACGUAGCGAAAUGCGAUAAGUAAUGUGAAUUGCAGAAUUCAGUGAAUCAUCGAAUCUUUGAACGCACCUUGCACUCCUUGGUAUUCCGAGGAGUACGCCUGUUCGAGUGUUAUGAAGCUCUCAAAACGCAAUUGGCUUAAAACCUGAUUGUUGUUUUGGAUUUGAACUUUGCCGUGUUAUAACGGCUGGUUUUAAAAGUAUUAGCUGGUACUAGAACGAAUUGGUUCUACUCAACGUGAUAAUUAUCUGAUCGUUGAGGACAUUCCUUUCACGAGGAAUGGCCAUAGUAAAUUCAAUGGACUGCUUCUAAUCUGGCUUUAAUUCUUUAUUGGAUUAACCACUUUUCAAAUCUGACCUCGAAUCAGGUGGGACUACCCGCUGAACUUAAGCAUAUCAAUAAGCAGAGGA